GUUUUCACCUUUCUUCCUUCUGUUUGGAACCGAGGCUCGAUAUACUUUUGAGGUGCCUGAAGACUACGAGAUAGACGGCAGUGUGGAGAAGACUGUGAAGCAAGAGGUGGUGUCAGAGGCCAUCGACAGGCAGGAGUCACUAUUUAAUGUGGUACGACAAAAUAUUAAAAAGGCUCAAGAUGCCUACAAAACACCCAAAUCAGAGAAAAAGGCCUCUUUUAAUGUAGGAAAAGGGGUUCUUCGAAAAAAACAUCAGGAGCCAAGAGAGAAAGGGUGAGACGUUGGACCCAAGCUGAACUGGGCCAUUUACAAUUGUGGCCAUACAUGAUGAGUGCAGACCUCCAAUCAGAAACACAUUUCAUCCCAAAAGUAAACAUUGAUCACCUCUGGCCUUUUAAAGCACAGCAACUAAGAAUCCCCCAUCAAAUAAAAUCACAGAGGGUGCAAUUAGCAACAACCCCACCACCACCCCACUAUCGUGCAUCACCCAAAGCUCCUGGAACAGUUACAGCUUCUGUAACAGCAUCUACCUCCACUUUAUUCUCAACCUUUGCACCAACCUCAUCACCUGCAACACCAGCUGACCUGACAACCCCAUCAGUCUCUGCAACACCAACAACUUUUGCACCACCGUCCUCCACCACACCAUCAUCAAUCUCUGCACAACCACCAGCCCUGGAAACACCAACAUCCUCUGCUCCACCAGCCCCAACUCAAGCUUCAUCAUCUGGGACUAUAGAGAAAUAUGUGAAGGAUGCCUGGGAUGGUCUGAACCCCCAUGUCCUUCUUUCUAAAAUUGGGGCAUAUAAGAUUUUUUUACUGGGACAUUGGUCAAACAAGGCCUGGACUGGAAUUAGAGAGUGAGGUAAAAAUGGUUAUUUGCUUAGUUAAGUAUGAGUAAAAAAGUAUCAAAAAGUAGAAAGUAAUGGUUAAGUAAUUUAAGUGGUAUAUAUGUUUACAUAAAAUAAUAUAUU